CGGCAACAGCUCAAAUUUGAAAUCUGGCCCUCGCCGAGGGCCCGAGUUGUAAUUUGCAGAGGGUGCUUUGGCGUUGGCAGCGGCCCAAGUUCCUUGGGACAGGACGUCGCAGAGGGUGAGAACCCCGUACAGGGCCUCCUGCCCCCGCCGUGUAAAGCCCCUUCGA
rnacentral:rRNA from 1 species